rnacentral:rRNA from 1 species
AGGACGAACGCUGGCGGCGUGCUUAACACAUGCAAGUCGAGCGGAAAGGCCCUUUGGGGUACUCGAGCGGCGAACGGGUGAGUAACACGUGAGUAAUCUGCCCCUAGCUCUGGGAUAGCUCCGGGAAACCGGGAUUAAUACCAGAUACGACCACUUUAGACAUCUUCUGUGGUGGAAAGAACUUCGGCUAGGGAUGAACUCGCGGCCUAUCAGCUUGUUGGUGAGGUAACGGCUCACCAAGGCGACGACGGGUAGCCGGCCUGAGAGGGCGACCGGCCACACUGGGACUGAGACACGGCCCAGACUCCUACGGGAGGCAGCAGUGGGGAAUAUUGCGCAAUGGGCGAAAGCCUGACGCAGCGACGCCGCGUGGGGAUGAAGGCCUUCGGGUUGUAACCCCUUUCAGCAGGGACGAAGCGAAAGUGACGGUACCUGCAGAAGAAGCGCCGGCUAACUACGUGCCAGCAGCCGC